UACGGGGGGAGCAAGCGUUGUUCGGAUUUACUGGGCGUAAAGGGCGCGUAGGCGGCCACCGCAAGUCGGUUGUGAAAUCUCUGGGCUUAACCCAGAAAGGUCAACCGAUACUGCGGGGCUAGAGUGCAGAAGGGGCAACUGGAAUUCUCGGUGUAGCGGUGAAAUGCGUAGAUAUCGAGAGGAACACCUGCGGCGAAGGCGGGUUGCUGGGCUGACACUGACGCUGAGGAGCGAAAGCAUGGGGAGCGAACAGG
rnacentral:rRNA from 1 species